rnacentral:rRNA from 1 species
UACGAAGGGGGCUAGCGGUGUUCGGAAUGACUGGGCGUAAAGCGCACGUAGGCGGAUUGGUCAGUUGGGGGUGAAAUCCCGGGGCUCAACCUCGGAACUGCCUCCAAUACUGCCAAUCUUGAGUUCGGGAGAGGUGAGUGGAAUUCCUAGUGUAGAGGUGAAAUUCGUAGAUAUUAGGAAUAACACCAGUGGCGAAGGCGGCUCACUGGCCCGAUACUGACGCUGCGGUGCGAAAGCGUGGGGAGCAAACAGG